rnacentral:rRNA from 1 species
UACGGGGGGAGCAAGCGUUGUCCGGAAUCACUGGGCGUAAAGAGCGCGUAGGCGUCCUAAUAAGUUUCUGGUGAAAUACUCCUGCUCAACGGGAGAAUUGCUGGAGAUACUGUUAGGAUUGAGUUUAGAAGAGGGAAGCGGAAUUCCUGGUGUAGCGGUGAAAUGCGUAGAUAUCAGGAAGAACACCGAUGGCGAAGGCAGCUUCCUAGUCUAACACUGACGCUGUGGCGCGAAAGCGUGGGGAGCAAACAGGAUUAGAUACCCUGGUAGUCCACGCCCUAAACGAUGGAUACUUGGCGUUGGGAGCUCGACCCUUCCAGUGCCGAAGUAAACGCGUUAAGUAUCCCGCCUGGGGACUACGGCCGCAAGGUUGAA